UUUGAUUUUUAUUUCUUUGGGAAGAAGAUUGGGGACUUAUUCUUACUUUAAUUGAUGUCUUUUGUGCAAGAGUGAAGAGUGGAGUGCGAAUCACUUACUUUCGCAUUGUAGCUAGUUGAGAAAGAUUUGGACUAUGGUCUUUGCAAUUUAGGAGUACAAUGGCUGACCUCAGGCACGAUGCAGCAUGAAAUUUGUACAUGGAGCGAGUAUUAGUUUGCGUGAUAGAAAGGAGCUGAUUGCUAUGAUGAUUCUUCGCCUUGUUUUUUUAUUUUUUUCAUUCGUUCGGGGAGAAGGAAUAAUAGAGCAUUUCAAGGAGUUCAAUCUUCUGGGAAUUUUGAUGGCGCGAUAAAACCCGGACAAGGUAUUCCCAUAGUAGUCGGAAGAUGGACCUAGAACUGGACUAGAUAUUACAUUAACAUACCUCAUAUCAGGUUCUCUAAACAUCACUAUGUGUCGGGUAUGCUCUUCCAUAAAUCAAACUAAUAGUUAAUUGCUCUUGAUUCCUGGCAGGUUAACGGCAUCAAAGGUGAUCAUCCAUCCAUUUUUUUGGGAUCUAGAUACGAGGAUGGACUUUUUGUCUGAACUCUACAAUUACAUAUGCACUGCAAAUCGAAAUCGUCAAAAGACCAUAUUUCUUUCCAAAUUGAAAGGCAAGAAGAGAUUGAUCUUUGACUCUCAGAGUUGGGAUGUGCGGAUAGAUUCUCAUAUUUUGCCUUUGCUAUUACCUCGAGGUGUGCAUUAUAACUAUGAAAAUGUCGUGGACUUAUUGCAAAUGGUGAGGAACCAGUGGGCUGACAAGGAUAAGGUUUCAACGGCCAUGCAGGCAUUGCCCAAUCCACCUUCCGAGCGUUUGGAGUUAUACUUCACCACGAAAUUUCCUCGUCUCUUGCUGACAACAUAUGAUGUGACUCUAAAGCACUUAGAAGGAGAGCAAUCCUUUAAGAGGUUCUUUGAAACAAAUUACCGUUGAUCCUUUGGCUGGCCAGCUCGCGAUCAUUGGCGCAGUGAGUCACAUGAAAAACACGAAAUUUAUAGAAAAUAGAAGGACUCAUAUUAUUAGAGCGUCUCUUAUUUGUGCCAAAGGUAUCUUGAAUUUAGUAAAUCCUAUUAGAAGGAAAGAGUAGCUAUCUUCAUCUUUGAUUCUGAUUGUCUUCAGUGCUUGUUUUUAUUUGACCCUUUUUUAGAUAGGCAGUGAUUAGGUCCGAAUUCUGUAGAGUCAGUCUGGUAGUGUCAGCAUACCGUAUACUCUGACCAUUAGAUGGUUUUGUAUGACCCUGUGUACAGAAUUUUGAUCUCCUACUUUGAUUCUCAUGUUAUGUUGAAGAUCUCCCUAUCCUGAUAUUUGGAGAAAAUCUUGUGUUUAAAGAUGAACUUC